rnacentral:lncRNA from 1 species
CUCAGUCACCCGUCAGGUCCGUUGGGAUUCUUUAAAACAAACAUAGAUGGCAUUGAAACUUUAGGAAAUUAUUUCUUUUGUAUUUUCCUAUGAAAUGGAAUUGUAAAUUCCCUCAAGUCCUCCAAAUUCUAUUUUGUUUUAACGAUUUUAUAGUAAUAAAUUCAUGCUGUGAUUUUUGUUUUUGUUUGAAUCGAAAUGGAGUUGAUAAUGUAAUAUUCAGAAUUUACUAUGUUUUUUGUAUUUUUACUGAUUGUUUUCAUUAAUCGUGAUGGAAAAAUAAUUUAAACGUAAAUAUGCUUUUCUUUGAUGAUCACAACGAUAAUGAAAAGAUUAUUUGAAAUAAAAGUGAUGAAAAUGAUGUUGGAGAUAAAAAAAAAGGAGAUUACAAACUUGGUGAUGUUUAAGGUAAACAUAAAUUUGUAUUCUUUGCAAGUUCGAUUGUGCCACACCGAGUCUGCGUCCACCACUGAACCACCACCUACCCCAAAAACUCAGACAUCCAAAAGUCCAGAUUUUCACCACAUUUUACACCACUAGCAAAGGCGCUCACGCCCAUAACAAUCACCGCCCAAAAUCGGCACCACUAUCACCGCCUAAAAACUGUAUGACCACGAUCGGGACCAUCACAACCUGCACCACCACAUGGCCACCACCACCAACUGCACACAAUCAGCAAAACACUCCAAAAUUUCAGCACUAGUUCGUGACCAUAUUUUCCCAAAUCGGGACCAACAAAACUCACCAACCAACAAAUCUCCCAGAUUCAACGUUGGCACAUCAUUCGCCCCUACAUCCAGCACCACGACCUCAUACCUCAAAUCAACAGCUUAGUCAACUAAUUACACAUUACCAUUUUCAUCGUGCCUUUUCAUCCACACAGUCCCCACCUGCCGACUCAAAACAAAGAUAAAAAACAUCGAUUCGCACGGCCAUAUUGAAAAAUCCAACAUGCUGGUUGAGGUGGGGGUUGUUGUGAGGUGAGUGGUGGUGCACAACAUAGCGGUGUUGGUGCAAGGCUGAGUGGUGGGGUUGGUGCGAGGUGGUUUGGCACAACACGAUAGUGGUGUAAGGCUGAGCAGUGGCAGCACAACGCGGCGAUGGUGCAAGAGAAGAGAACGACAGUCGUCAAAAGGGGUGGUGGCAUCGUGCGUAAUUGGUAGAGAAGAUGGAGAGAGGGAGAAAAAGGUGAAUGAUUUUAGGUUUGGAUAACAAUUGAAUUGGGUUAUGGGGCUGAUGGAUUGGAUUGGUUAAAUAUUAAUAUUAAUAUUAUUAUUAUUUAAAAUUUUAUUUAUGUUGUAAAUAGAAAGUCCAUUAAAGUUUAUUGAUGAAUGAUAUUUGCACCCCUGUAGCCCUAGAAAUUAUUACCAUUGUAUCCCCGAUUCUUACUUAUAAA